rnacentral:rRNA from 1 species
UACAUGGGGUGCAAACGUUGCUCCGAAUUAUUGGGCGUAAAGCGCGCGUAGGCGGUUACUUAAGUCGGAUGUGAAAGCCCUCGGCUUAACUGAGGAAGUGCACCCGAAACUGAGUAGCUGGAGUACGAAAGAGGGUCGCGGAAUUCCCGGUGUAGAGGUGAAAUUCGUAGAUAUCGGGAGGAACACCAGUGGCGAAGGCGGCGAUCUGGGAAGAUACUGACGCUGAGGUGCGAAAGCGUGGGGAGCAACAGG